AUUGAACGCUGGCGGUAUGCUUUACACAUGCAAGUCGAACGGUAACAGGUCUUCGGAUGCUGACGAGUGGCGAACGGGUGAGUAAUGUAUCGGAACGUGCCUAGUAAUGGGGGAUAACCACUCGAAAGAGUGACUAAUACCGCAUAAUAUCUCAGGAUGAAAGCGGGGGAUCGUAAGGCCUCGCGUUAUUAGAGCGGCCGAUAUCAGAUUAGGUAGUUGGUGGGAUAAAAGCCUACCAAGCCAACGAUCUGUAGCUGGUCUGAGAGGACGACCAGCCACACUGGGACUGAGACACGGCCCAGACUCCUACGGGAGGCAGCAGUGGGGAAUUUUGGACAAUGGGCGAAAGCCUGAUCCAGCAAUACCGCGUGCAGGACGAAGGCCUUCGGUUGUAAACUGCUUUGUACGGAACGAAACGGUUCAGAUUAAUACUCUGAACUAAUGACGGUACCGUAAGAAUAAGCACCGGCUAACUACGUGCCAGCAGCCGCGGUAAUCAUACUCG
rnacentral:rRNA from 1 species